AUUGAACGCUGGCGGCAUGCCUCACACAUGCAAGUCGAACGGCAGCACGGGUGCUUGCACCUGGUGGCGAGUGGCGAACGGGUGAGUAAUACAUCGGAACGUACCUUAUCGUGGGGGAUAACGCAGCGAAAGCUGUGCUAAUACCGCAUACGCCCUGAGGGGGAAAGCGGGGGAUCGCAAGACCUCGCGCCAUUAGAGCGGCCGAUGCCUGAUUAGCUUGUUGGUGGGGUAAAAGCCCACCAAGGCGACGAUCAGUAGCUGGUCUGAGAGGACGAUCAGCCACACUGGGACUGAGACACGGCCCAGACUCCUACGGGAGGCAGCAGUGGGGAAUUUUGGACAAUGGGGGCAACCCUGAUCCAGCAAUGCCGCGUGAGUGAAGAAGGCCUUCGGGUUGUAAAGCUCUUUUGUCAGGGAAGAAACACCGGCUCUAACACAGUCCGGGAAUGACGGUACCUGAAGAAUAAGCACCGGCUAACUACGUGCCAGCCGCCGCAGUAA
rnacentral:rRNA from 1 species